rnacentral:lncRNA from 1 species
UUAGGAGAGUCAUAAUGGGUGUCCUAUCAAAGUUAAAAAUUCAGGUUAGAGGCAAUUACAAAGAGAGAGUAGUAGUAGUAGUAGUAGUAGUACAUAGGACAGGCAGUGUACAACUACCCUUAUCAUUCAUUCCUUUGGAGAAUGGACCCUUUUCUUUCUAUAAAUAGAGCUGGGUACGGGCACUCUCUUAUAGCUCAUAGAUCUCUUAGCACUUCUCUCUCUCUCUCUUUCUGUGUUUUUUGUUUUUCCUUUUAAAGAAACCUUAUUAAGUUUCUUUUAUGCAUAUACUAUAGCAGGGAGAGAGAGAGGAAUGGUGAUGUUGUUGACAGAAGAUAGAGAGCACAGAUGAUGAUAUGCAAUAAUGGACUCUGCAUCUCACUCCUUUGUGCUCUCUAUGCUUCUGUCAUCACCUCUUCUCUCACCCCUUACUUCUUCUUCUUCUUUAACACCAGAUUAGCAUGAUUUCUUUUUUUUUUUUUAAAGUUUGCUUUAUAUUUUGUACUAUUUAAUUAAUUAUUGCUUUGUUUAGUUCAGUACAGCAGCUAACAAAAAUGUUACAGAACAAGGGCAUGAUUCUUUAUGGAAAAGAAAAAUGAAAAUCAAAGGGAAGGCAAAGUGAAGUAUAUCAGGCAAGAAAUUGGGUGCUAAAUUGAUUUCCCAUCAAUGGGGUGUGAUUUUUAUUUUUUAUUUUUUACUUCAUUAUAUUUCUUUUCUUAUAUAUAAUAUUUAUCUAUAUGGCUCUCCAAAUGGGAAAUCAAAGUUCUUUUGAUUUAGUUUUAUGCUAAAAAUUUUUGUGUUUUAAUUUGAUCAACCAGCUAAAAAUUACGGAACAGUUCUCUUUCUUCUUUCUCUCGUGAUUUACAGAAAAAUGCUCGUAAUGAAUAUUUAUUCUAUUUUUGAAGAUGAAACUCUAGAAGGAAGACUCAUACCAACACUUAUUGAUAAAAUAAAUAAGAGUUAGUUAGCAAAGGACGUAUCAAUUUCAAACACUUACUCCUAUUAAAAUCUCACUAACAGACAAAGAAAAUCUAUAUAGAAUUUCUCUCAAUUUCUUUUGUUAAUGCUUUCAAUUUCAAAGUUAAGAUUAAUAGUUUAAGACAAGUGCUAAGUGUCUCUAUUUAUAGAUUUUAAAUUGAAUGCUUAGCUAUGUUCAAUUACUUGUAAUUAUCUAAUAGUUGCAGUGCUUAAUGUUAUAUUUGAUACAAUAUUUUGACUUGUAUUUUCAUGAGCAAUAAGGAAGGAUAUUGCCGGCGGGUCGGCUUGCCGGGAUAUGGAACGGGAAAUGCCAGGAGCAACACUAAAUCUCAGGGCUGAUCAGAAAUUUCUUUGGAUAUCGUGAUGGAUAAAGUAGUGGUUCAAUCAAAUAAAUUAAUGUUUUAUAAUAUGUUUCUUAUAAGAGUUUUGGAUACUCAUUUUCACUAACUUUUUAGAUGAGUUAAGUUUGAUCUAAAUUUAACAUGCUAUUAAACCUCUAUCAAUACUGAAUUUUUCAUAUGUUAUGCUUUAAUAUAGUUUUGAACGUGAAUGUAUACAAAAAAAUUUCAACUGCUAUAUCUUUUUCGAUAAGAAACUGUUAUUAUUAUUAUAUACUGUGUAAUUUUUUAUGAAGUAAUUUGAAAUAAAAUCUAUGUAUUUAAUUUGAGUUUCUGAAUUUUCUAGAGAUGAAAAAAAUAACUAAAAUUAAG